rnacentral:rRNA from 1 species
AUGCCGCGGUGAAUACGUUCCCGGGCCUUGUACACACCGCCCGUCACACCACGAGAGCUUGCAACACCCGAAGUCGGUGCGGUAACCCUUACGGGAGCCAGCCGCCGAAGGUGGGGCAAGUGAUUGGGGUGAAGUCGUAACAAGGUAGCAGUACCGGAAGGUGCGGCUGGAUCACCUCCUUUCU